UGAAAAGCCGCAUGUAAUUAAAAUUAGUCUAUACUAAUGUAAAAGCUAACUCAUAGCUUGUAUCACUAGAUAGUUGAAUGUUGCCACCAAUUGGUCCAACAAGUGCUGAAUGUGGAUGAAAUUUAGAUAUAGCCAAGUUAGAGACAUCGACCUACAUUUAGCAAUGAUUUUAGAAUGUGUAUGUUGCAUAAAAAAGUACUUUUUGGCAACUUUAUAGUUGAAUUAGCCCCUGAACUUUUUCUCUACUAAGAGUGUUGAAUUUCUUGUAUACAAUAUAAAUAUUCUAUUUCAUCUAUAGUUAUCAGCUCUUCUUUUGCCCCUUUGCAGGUAUCACUGUUGGCUCAGUAUGCUUAUUAUUAAUAGCCCUGUUCUUUUUCAUCUGCCUUCUUCGCAAAAAUCGUUGUGACUUGAUACUAUUUUCCAAGAAGAUGUCGGAAGAUGAACGAAGGGUUGAGGCCAUUCUACAAAAUUAUGAGCUUAAGGCUCCAAAAAGAUACAAGUAUUCACAGAUAAAGAAAAUAACACAAAGAUUCAACAAUGAAAUCGGAAAAGGUGGAUUCGGUACUGUCUUCAAGGGUAAGCUCAUUGAUGGCCAAGAAGUAGCCGUGAAAGUCUUACACCAGUCCAAUGGAAAAGGUGAGGACUUUGUUAAUGAAAUUCUCAGCAUUAGCAAAACAUCCCACAUAAAUGUUGUAAUGUUGCUAGGCUUCUGUUUUGAGGGGUGCUAUAGAGCUCUUAUCUAUGAAUUCGUGCCAAAUGGAACAUUAGCUGAUUUUAUUGACAAAGACAAAUCUAAUAUGGAAGCUUCAAUUCUUUGGGAAAGAUUACAUGACAUUGCAGUUGGCAUAGCUCGAGGACUAGAAUAUCUACAUCGUGGAUGCAGUGCCCAGAUAGUGCACUUUGACAUCAAACCUCAUAAUAUCUUACUAGACAAAAAAUUUCGUCCUAAAAUUGCUGAUUUUGGGCUGGCCAAAUUAUGCUCUACACGAAAGAGCACUCUUUCGAUACAAGGCAAGGGAGGAACUCCAGGAUAUAUUGCUCCUGAAUUAUGGUUUGACAACUUUGGGCCUAUCUCUAGUAAAGCUGAUGUGUAUAGCUAUGGUAAGAUUGCACUUGAAAUGGUUGGAGGGAGGAAAAUUUUUGACAGCAAAACAGAUUCUAGUAGUGAAUACUGUUUCACUUAUUGGGUGUAUAAUCAUCUGAAUCAAUGUGGCAACUUAGACGCUUAUGGAGUUACUGAGGAGACAGAAGAAGUUGCGAAAAAAAUGAUAUUAGUUGGGCUUUGGUGUAUUCAAAAAUUGCCUGCCGAACGGCCAUCAAUGAGUGAAGUUGUAGAGAUGCUCAAAGGUCGCAUAGAAGAUUUGCGGAUGCCACCAAACCCAAAGUGGUUUUGACAAAAACUAAAAGAAAACUUCCAAUAUACUCUGAGGAAAAGCUAGGUUCCAGACUGCCUUCCACGUUGGGCAUCUCUUCUGAGGGUUCCUGGAAUUCAUCCCAAAUGGAAUCUUGGAUGAUUUUAACUAUAAAAACAUAUCUAUAAAGCACGCAAUUGCCAUAGCUCGAGGGCUAGAGUAUCAAGAUCGCAUAAGCAAUAGCACAUAGUGCACUUUGAGAUCAAACCUCCUAAUUUCUUAACUGCAAAGAAUUUUGUCCAUAAUUGCUGAUUGUGUUUUGGUUGAAUUAUGCUCUAUGGGAGAGAGUAUUCUUUCGGUGCAAGGAAAAAAACCAUGAACCUAUUAUUUUCAUCGAAGGUGAAGUUCAAAUUGAAGUAGGCUUUCGGAUGAACUAGAGUUCGGGUAAAAAUUGCGUUCCUUCUGCUAUUUGUUUGUAUACCUAUAGAACUGAAGUUUCUCCAAUUCUAUUGUUUGUUUGACAAAAGUGAAUGACAUAAAAGCUAGAGGCAUGAUAGAUGGGUUAAUAUUUAAUUAUUUUUUCUCACUUAUUUUUUUUAAUAAUUGAUUUCGUCUUGGGGUGGGCCGAAGUUAGGUAUUUUUGAUAUUUUGUGUAA